rnacentral:rRNA from 1 species
UACGUAGGUGGCAAGCGUUGUCCGGAUUUACUGGGCGUAAAGAGCGCGCAGGCGGUCGUUCAAGUCGCGUGUGAAAGCCCCCGGCUCAACUGGGGAGGGUCACGCGAUACUGAUCGACUCGAAGGCAGGAGAGGGUAGUGGAAUUCCCGGUGUAGUGGUGAAAUGCGUAGAUAUCGGGAGGAACACCAGUGGCGAAGGCGGCACCCUGGGUCUGACCUGACACUGAUCCGCGACAGCAUGGGGAGCGAACGGG